AUUGAACGCUAGCGGGAUGCUUUACACAUGCAAGUCGAACGGCAGCGCGGACUUCGGUCUGGCGGCGAGUGGCGAACGGGUGAGUAAUGUAUCGGAACGUUCCCAGUAGCGGGGGAUAACUACGCGAAAGCGUAGCUAAUACCGCAUACGCCCUACGGGGGAAAGCAGGGGAUCGUAAGACCUUGCACUAUUGGAGCGUCCGAUAUCGGAUUAGCUAGUUGGUGAGGUAACGGCUCACCAAGGCGACGAUCCGUAGCUGGUUUGAGAGGACGACCAGCCACACUGGGACUGAGACACGGCCCAGACUCCUACGGGAGGCAGCAGUGGGGAAUGUUGGACAAUGGGGGCAACCCUGAUCCAGCCAUCCCGCGUGUGCGAUGAAGGCCUUCGGGUUGUAAAGCACUUUUGGCAGGAAAGAAACGGCGCGGGCUAAUACCCCGUGGAACUGACGGUACCUGCAGAAUAAGCACCGGCUAACUACGUG
rnacentral:rRNA from 1 species